CCUACGGGUGGCUGCAGUGGGGAAUAUUGGACAAUGGGCGAAAGCCUGAUCCAGCCAUGCCGCGUGUGUGAAGAAGGCCUUCGGGUUGUAAAGCACUUUCAGUGGGGAAGAAAGCCUUGGGGCUAAUACCCUCGAGGAAGGACAUCACCCACAGAAGAAGCACCGGCUAACUCCGUGCCAGCAGCCGCGGUAAUACGGAGGGUGCGAGCGUUAAUCGGAAUUACUGGGCGUAAAGCGCGCGUAGGCGGUCUGAUAAGCCGGUUGUGAAAGCCCCGGGCUCAACCUGGGAACGGCAUCCGGAACUGUCAGGCUAGAGUGCAGGAGAGGAAGGUAGAAUUCCCGGUGUAGCGGUGAGAUGCGUAGAGAUCGGGAGGAAUACCAGUGGCGAAGGCGGCCUUCUGGACUGACACUGACGCUGAGGUGCGAAAGCGUGGGUAGCAAACAGGAUUAGAUACCCGAGUAGUC
rnacentral:rRNA from 1 species